UGCUGUGCCAGCACAGAGGUCUCCAGAGCGACUCUCCUGAAUCAGAUAGCAGGGGCUGUUUGCAGUUUCGUUUCCACGCUUCGCUGACUGGUUAGACAGUGAUCACAGGUUCGGAAGCACGAGCCUCACCACAGCGGAGGAGGCCUCCACUCUGAAGCGGGAUUCCACGCUCCUGCACCCUAAGAUCAGCUAGACUCUCUGCCUUGUUUCAUCUUCUUUCUUUUCCUAAAGAAUCACGGGGAGAACUGACCUCUCUGGGACUCAACCGUGGCUGGAAGGGGACAGGAGAAGCCCUUUCUGGAGGACAGCUGAGCCCUGCAGCUGCCAUCCUGCCUGGCAGGCUAGGGCUGGGCUGCGGGAAGGCCCCCCAGGAGGGAGGUCCGGCCACUGCACCCCGAGGAAAGGGCUGCUUUCGGCACUCUGCGUGGAGGUCCUGGCUUCUGCCGUCCCUGGAGGCUCCGUUCCCGUUUCGCCAGCUAUUUUGCUGCCUCGGCCAUCUGUUCCCUCCCUGUCAUCUCCUCUCUGCUUUAACCUUAACCACUACUUCACUGCAGAUGGUACCAGGCAGUUCUGCUCUCGACAUCCUUCACGACGCCUGGCCCUCCUUCUCAUCUCCAGCAAGUGAACCGCUCUGUCCUUUUUAAAGCCUCAUCCCAAAGACACGGCCAGAGCUUGGAGUUGGAUUCGCCCCACACAACUCCCCCUCUUUGAUGCCAUCUGCUUUCAACUCCACCACUGGCCAGGGGCAAACACCUACCCCUUCCCCUGCCUUUUCCUCCUGAGACUUCUUCUCAAACUCGGCCAAGAAGCUCUCCUGGCAUGGACAGCGUGUCUGCUCCGGGUCUCUACCUGGUCUCCAUCAACAGAGCCAUGUAACCGCCCAGAGGGCUCCAGGUCCGCAAGCUGAGGCGGAGGCCAGAAACUCUGAAGUUCACUCCUACUGUGGAGGAACGAGGGCUCGUGCUGGGAGUUUGGGUCAUGAACAGUUUCCCUGUAGAAAAUGGACCUGAACACUCUGCAGUAAGGAAUUGUUUCCCAUGCUGGCAUGGUGGGAACCGAACCAAAACACAUUUUCUAUGUUGUCUGAGCUCACAGGGAACAUCCCUCUGCUGUCCUUGCUGUUAUUCUGGCAUGCUGGUGAGAAAAUGCAUGCAUGGGCUUUACUUAGCAACUCGCUCUGCCUCUCCUCUCUGUCAGGGCGCUCCCCUAAAAUCUCUCCUCUUGACGUCUUUUUUCUGGCAUAAGGACCCGGAGCUUUGAGGAGCGCAGCAGCCCAGAAGCUCCUAAGGAGAGAAGCUGUUUUGGUGAGAUUGGUUCCACCAGGCUACAUGCCUUGACUGGGACAGAAAUGGGCUGGGAAGGCCGAAAUUUGACUUCUGCACCUGGAUUUGGGCUAAAAAGUCUCACAGCUCAGCCUCCUUGAUAAGGGUUCUUCUAUCUCCCCUCUAUACUUCCUCUGCAGCAGAAAAGAGUAUCUUGGCCGUGCAGGGAACGCUCUUCUCUCACUCUCGCCACUGGGGUUAAGGGCAGCUACAUUACUAUAGCUCCAAGUCUUGGUUGCCCCCAGAGAGAGGCAGAGAUGUAGCCUGCCCACAUCUGGACACUUGAAGACUCUCCAAACACCUAGAGGAGCUGUGGAUUCAAGUGAAGCAACCAUCUGAUGCCACCACGGUCCCUCCUUCCCUUUGCCUUCCCUUCUUCCCACAAAAGAGAAGCCCAAAUCCGCCACCAGACCAGCCCAUCUGCCCGUGGAAACCAAGGGAACCAAAUGCAUCGUACUGGGUUGCAGGCCUUAAUCUAGCUCUCGCUGAAUUAUUCAGGGAUGGCAUUAACUUAUAAAUGAGUGUGUUUGACUGAUUUUGUGGUUGAUGUACAGAUAAAGUCUAAUGAAAGACA
rnacentral:lncRNA from 1 species